GACAGAGGUGGCAAGCGUUGUCCGGAAUUACUGGGCGUAAAGCGUGCGUAGACGGUUAUUUAAGUCAGGUGUGAAAGCCCCGGGCUCAGCCCGGGAAGUGCGCUCGAAACUGCGCGGCUCGAGUGCCGGAGGGGAGAGUGGAAUUCCUGGUGUAGCGGUGAAAUGCGCAGAUAUCGGGAGGAACACCAACGGCGAAGGCAGCACUCUGGGCUGGAACUGACGCUGAGGAGCGAAAGCGUGGGUAGCAAACAGG
rnacentral:rRNA from 1 species